rnacentral:rRNA from 1 species
GGCCAGACUCCUACGGGAGGCAGCAGUGGGGGAUAUUGCACAAUGGGGGGAACCCUGAUGCAGCGACGCCGCGUGGGUGAAGAAGUAUUUCGGUAUGUAAAGCCCUAUCGGCAGGGAAGAAAUUGGACGGUACCUGACUAAGAAGCCCUGGCUAACUACGUGCCAGCAGCCGCGGUAAUACGUAGGGGGCAAGCGUUAUCCGGAUUCACUGGGUGUAAAGGGAGCGUAGACGGCCAUGCAAGCCUGGAGUGAAAGCCCGGGGCCCAACCCCGGGACUGCUCUGGGAACUGUGCGGCUGGAGUGCGGGAGGGGCAGGCGGAAUUCCUGGUGUAGCGGUGAAAUGCGUAGAUAUCAGGAGGAACACCGGCGGCGAAGGCGGCCUGCUGGACCGCGACUGACGUUGAGGCUCGAAAGCGUGGGGAGCAAACAGGAUUAGAUACCCUUGUAG